UCCUCCGUGGCGCAAUUGGCUAGCGCGUUCGACUGUUACUAAAACAGGUUAUCGAGAGGUUGACAGUUCAAGCCUGUCCGGGGGAG